rnacentral:rRNA from 1 species
UGGACUGCCAGGGGCAUGGCGAACGGCUCAGUAACACGUGGCCAACCUACCCUCAAGAUGCGGAUAACCCCGGGAAACUGGGACUAAUCCGCAAUAGGUCCAGAUUUCUGGAAUGAAUCUGGACCGAAAGGGUAACAUGAGCAUGUUUCAUGUUACCGCUUGAGGAUGGGGCUACGGCCGAUCAGGCUGUUGGUGGGGUAACGGCCCACCAAACCUUUGACCGGUACGGGCUUUGAGAGAAGGAGCCCGGAGAUGGACACUGAGACAAGGGUCUAGGCCCUAAGGGGUGCAGCAGGCGCGAAGAUUCCGCAAUGCCCGAAAGGGCGACGGAGUGAACCCGAGUGCCACCCGCUGAGGGUGGCUGUUCCCCUGUGUAAAAAGCAGGGGGUAGAAAGGGGAGGGCAAGGCUGGUGGCAGCCGCCGCGGUAAAACCAGCUCCCCGAGGGGUUCCCACGCAUACUGGGCCUAAAGCGUCCGUAGCCGGCCCUGCAAGUCUGCAGUUAAAUCCGCCUGUAGACAGGCGGGCUGCUGCAGAUACUGCAGGGCUAGGGAGCGGGAGGAGCCGGGGGUAUUCCCGGGGGAGCGGUAAAAUGCGUAGAUCCCGGGAGGACCACCAGUGGCGAAGGCGCCCGGCUUGAACGCGUCCGACGGUGAGGGACGAAAGCUGGGGGAGCAAACCGGAUAAGAUACCCGGGUAAUCCCACCCGUAAACGAUGCCGGCUAGGUGCUGGCCAAGUUUCGGCCUUGGCCAGUGUUCGAAGCGAAGCCAUUAACCCGGCCGCCUGAAGGAGUACGCCCGCAAGGCUGAAACUUGAAGGAAUUGAACGGGGGGCACCACAAGGGGUGAAUGCCUGCGGCUUAAUUGGACUCAACGCCGGGAAUCUUACCGGGGGCGACAGCAGGAUGAAGGUCAGGCUGAAGACCUUACCAGACGCGCUGAGGGGUGGUGCAUGGCCGUCGCCAGCUCGUGCCGUGAGGUGUCCUGUUAAGUCAGGCAACGAGCGAGACCCCCGCCCCUAGUUGCCAGCGGCCUCCUUCGGGAGGGACCGGGCAAACUAGGGGGACCGCCUCCGAAGAGGAGGAGGAAGGUGGGGGCUACGGCAGGUCAGUAUGCCCCUAAUCCCCCGGGCCGCACGCGGGCUGCAAUGGGCGGGACAGCGGGAUGCGACCCCGAGAGGGGGAGCUAAUCCCUCAAACCCGCUCGUAGUUGGGAUCGAGGGCUGCAACUCGCC